AACGCACAUUGCGCCCUUUGGUAUUCCGAAGGGCAUGCCUGUUCGAGCGUCAUUAUCACCCCUCAAGCCCCCGGCUUGGUGUUGGACGGUUUGGUGGAGACCCCCCGUGGGCUUCCCACCCCUCCCAAAGACAAUGACGGCGGCCUCGUUGGACCCCCGGUACACUGAGUUCUUCACGGGACACGUAUCGGACAACAUGGGUUUACGGGCCACGGUCUGCCUCCCCUCAGGGAGAAUCUUCUUAAGGUUGACCUCGGAUCAGGUAGGGAUACCCGCUGAACUUAA
rnacentral:misc_RNA from 1 species